AGGUCAUACUGAGAAGCUGAUUGUCUUCACUGACACCAGUGCUGAUGUUAGCAUUGCCAGUUCAGCUGCAGUAUGUCAGAGAAGCGAGAAAAGGACUCUCCGUCUGAGAUGAGUGUCUCAGAGAAACAGAGUGUAAGAUCAGGCUCAGAUGUGUCCAGCUCUGUGUCUGUGAAGAGUGACCGUUCAAUAUUUCAACCACCGAAAUUCAGUGAG